rnacentral:misc_RNA from 1 species
UUUCAUACCGUUCAGUGCAUUCUGGAUUUCGAUUUGGCUUUCGGUUGCUUCCUUUGCAUUAGUGCUUGGGGAGGAGCUGUGAGCUGUGUCGUCUUUUGGGAUGUUCGUUGUAAAGGUGUAUGAGUUGUGUUUGGUUUGUUACGGGUGGUUGGAUGUCUGCAAAAGCAGCAACUUCCACGCAGGCAAGCCUCUUCAGUUGUGCUACAAGGCUCUAAUUGUCUUGUGCAUUCGGUGGGUGUUCUGUGUUGCAUACCCAAUCAAGGGCAUCGUGUGGAUAGAUCAAUUUGUUUUUCGUAACGCGUCGCUUGCGGCGUUGAGCGAACCUUGAAGCGGUCUCUAUGGCCCAUACUGUUGUUGCCUAGGCAUCGAUUGCAUGGCCCUUGGAGCGUCGCUUGGACUCUUGGAUAUGGAACCUUAUGUGGGCAGUAGGGUCUUUCAUGACUCUAUUUUUUCCGAGGGCAUUCCCUUGCAUGCUUGGUUAUGUCGAAGAGGAAUGCUAC